rnacentral:lncRNA from 1 species
AGCUCCUUGUUUUUAGAAAAAUACAUUAUGAAAUUUAUUUUCAUAUUUUGCGGAUUUCUUUGCAGGAAACUUCACGAGACCAUGCUAUUGAAUGUGGUGAUAAAGAGGGCCAGAAUUUGCCAGUGGAGCUGAACAGUGAAUCUUCACAAGACAAAUCUAACGAGAAUGACAUUGAAGGGGACCAGAAAUUGCCAGCGGAGCUUAAAAAUGAAACUUCAGAAGACAAUACUAAAGAGGACGACGAUGAAGGGGGCUAGAAAUUGCCAGUAGAGCUUAAUCAAGAAGUACAGUUAAAGAUUGGCAGCUACAUUGAGGUAGAGUAUGAGAUGAACAGAGGAAGAAAGAAGGAAUGUAAAAAAUAUGUUGGAAGAAAUAAUUGAUGCGGUCGAUGAUGAACCAUAUGUUAGCUUUUUGGAUAACUGAACUGUAAGAAACAUUAAGAAGAAAAGACUGACUGAUAGAAGAUAAAGCCUUAGUGGCACCAUCACAGAUUGUGAGACAUUUGAAUAUUCCAGAAGAAAUUAUUC